GUAUCCCUACGGGAGGCAGCAGUGGGGAAUAUUGCACAAUGGGGGAAACCCUGAUGCAGCGACGCCGCGUGAGUGAAGAAGUAUUUCGGUAUGUAAAGCUCUAUCAGCAGGGAAGAAAGUGACGGUACCUGAUUAAGAAGCCCCGGCUAACUACGUGCCAGCAGCCGCGGUAAUACGUAGGGGGCAAGCGUUAUCCGGAUUUACUGGGUGUAAAGGGAGCGUAGACGGUGAUGCAAGUCAGAAGUGAAAGCCCGGGGCUCAACUCCGGGACUGCUUUUGAAACUGUGUAACUG
rnacentral:rRNA from 1 species